rnacentral:rRNA from 1 species
UACGAAGGGGGCUAGCGUUGCUCGGAAUUACUGGGCGUAAAGGGCGCGUAGGCGGACAGUUUAGUCAGAGGUAAAAGCCCAGGGCUCAACCUUGGAACUGCCUUUGAUACUGGCUGUCUUGAGUUCGGGAGAGGUGAGUGGAAUGCCGAGUGUAGAGGUGAAAUUCGUAGAUAUUCGCAAGAACACCAGUGGCGAAGGCGGCUCACUGGCCCGAUACUGACGCUGAGGCACGAAAGCGUGGGGAGCAAACAGG